CAUAGUAAUUAGCUUUUUAAUUGAAAGCUUGUAUGAAUGGUUGAACAAGAGAAAUACUGUCUCUUUAUUAAAAUUUGAAUUUAACUUUUAAGUGAAAAGGCUUAAAUUUAUCAAGUGGACGAUAAGACCCUAUAAAGCUUUAUAAAUUUAGAAAAAUUUUUAAAAUUUAAUAAUAAAAAAAAAUUUUUUAGAAGUUAUUAUGUUGGGGCGACACAGAUAAAAAUUUAAGUAACUGUCAGGAAUAAAAACAAUUAUUUUUGGUUUUUAUGAUCCUUUAUUAAAGAUUAAAAGAUUAAGUUACUUUAGGGAUAACAGCGUUAUUCUUUUUAAGAGUCCUUAUCAAAAAAAGAGUUUGCGACCUCGAUGUUGAAUCAUAAAAUCUUUGCAGUGCAGCAGCUGUAAGAA
rnacentral:rRNA from 1 species